rnacentral:rRNA from 1 species
AUGCUCCACUCCGGCCUCUCCAAGUCCCAGCCCAUACCGCUCCUCGCGGGAGCGUCUUCGCCUCGCCGCGCCCUCCUCGCCGGUCUCCUCCGCGCCGGGUACUUCUCUAAGUCCGCUACCUCCUCACCUGCGCUUCGUCCGUCCGCCACCCGUGCGAGCACUAGGGCGGCGACUACGCCGCGAGAUCCCUCGCGCUUCGGCCUGGGACAUAGGGUCUCGUUCUCAACUGCACCAGAUGGUUCUGAUUCGGUCGGCGGCGGCGGGAGGUCGCUCCCUUGGCUAGCAGCGGGGAGCGUCGAUAGCGGCGUCCCCACCGCAAGGGCUAGCGCCGGACGCUCCUCCUCGUGGGAGAGCUCCGCUGAUAAGUUCUUCUCUAAAGGCGACCAAAGUGCGCGAGUAGAGACAUUGGAAGAUAGCGUUUCAUACAAGGAGGGGGGAAUUGGAGGGGAGGAGAAUGAACCAAUUGACAAUCCCAAGUGGGGGCGGAUUAAGGAUAAGUUCCGGCGCAAUGUGGCAAGGGAUGAAGGGUCCCGUGACCGUGGUGAGAGGUUUGAAAAGCCGGAUGUGAGGCGGUGGAACAAGCAAGAGGACCGUGGUGAGAGGUUUGACAAGCCGGAUGUGAGGCGGUGGAGCAAGCAAGAGGACCGUGGUGAGAGGUUUGACAAGCCGGAUGUGAGGCGGUGGAACAAGCAAGAGGACCGUGGUGAGAGGUUUGAUAAGCCGGAUGUGAGGCGGUGGAACAAGCAAGAGGAUCGUGGUGAGAGGUUUAGAGGGGAGAGGUUCAACCAGCCAGAUGUAAGGCGGUGGAACAAGCAAGAGGACCGGGGCAGGAAGACAUGGAAGGAGGUAGGGGAAUCGACAGUGCCAAAGAUGGUUGGGGAGGGGGUUUACGGCGUUGGGCCGGUACUUGCCGCUCUCACGGCUGGGAGGAGGGAGUUUUAUGCAUUGUACACACAGGAAGGAAUGGAUUUGAGCAGGAGCAACAAGAAGAAGAAGGACAAAAGGGGGAUUGAGAAGGUGCUGCUGAUGGCAGAGACUAUUGGGCUUAAAGUUAUUGAGGCGUCAAAGCAUGACCUCAACAUGGUGGUGGAUAACCGUCCACAUCAAGGUCUGGUGCUUGAUGCAUCACCCUUGGAAAUGGUGAAUACUAAGGAGUUGGAACGAGUCAGGGUUCAUGGUGGCAAGGCACCAGUCUGGAUAGCUUUGGAUGAGGUUAUGGACCCUCAGAAUUUGGGAGCCAUAAUUAGAUCAGCCUACUUCUUUGGUGCGGAGGGUGUUGUCUUGUGCGCUAAGAACUCUGCUCCAUUGAGUGGAGUAGUGAGCAAAGCUAGUGCAGGCUCGCUUGAGUUGAUUGAGCUGCUUUCGUGUAGGAAUAUGAUGCAGUUUCUGUCUUCAUCAGCUGAAAAUGGGUGGCGAGUUCUUGGUGGUACCGUCGCUCCAAAAGCUAUACCUCUCUCUGAAGUUACCACAGGGGAGCCAACAAUUCUGGUGUUGGGCAGUGAAGGCACCGGUCUGAGGCCCCUGGUUGAGCGCUCCUGCACACAUUUGGUCAAAAUUGCUGGUAAUGCUGAUGGAUUUGUUGUAGAAGAAGAAAUAGAUGCCACAGAUGCAGAUAUAGGGGAAGAAGGUGAUAAUUAUUCAGGUAAUCAAGAUAUGAAAUCAUUCCUUGCAGUAGAGAGCUUAAAUGUUAGUGUGGCAGCAGGAGUUUUGCUUUAUCAUCUGGCUGGAAAGAAUGUCCACCCUGUAACUGAGAAGCCUAGCAUCUCUCCUGUGACCAGCAAAGAUUCAGUGCAAACCUAA